rnacentral:rRNA from 1 species
GCCUAAACACAUGCAAGUCCGAACGAGACCGUUCGGGUCUAGGUGGCGCACGGGUGCGUAACACGUGGGAAUUUGCCUCGGGGUAUGGAAUAACUCAGGGAAACUUGAGCUAAUACCAUAUAAUGUCUUCGGACCAAAGAUUUAUCGCCCUGAGAUAAGCCCGCGUAGGAUUAGCUAGUUGGUGGGGUAAAGGCUCACCAAGGCGACGAUCCUUAGCUGGUCUGAGAGGAUGAUCAGCCACACUGGGACUGAGACACGGCCCAGACUCCUACGGGAGGCAGCAGUGGGGAAUAUUGGACAAUGGGCGAAAGCCUGAUCCAGCAAUGCCGCGUGAGUGAUGAAGGCCUUCGGGUUGUAAAGCUCUUUUACUCGGGACGAUAAUGACGGUACCGAGAGAAUAAGCCCCGGCUAACUACGUG